GUGUUCAGGCCGGUCCACGCUGGGUGACCCAUGUGACCUGCUGCUUAGCAAUUCCUUGUCACCAUCUUCCCUUCUCAGCCUCUUUUUUCAUGCUAACAGGCAUAAAUGAAAUGAUAAAAGUUUGAGCUCUUCUCGUGGAAUUCUCGUGAUACAGAUAUGUGCUACAUGUUCAUCAUCUCGUUGGUCUUCACCAUGAUAACUGUGGAGUAAGAAUUAUAAGCAGGUCACAGAUUAGGGACUUGAGAUUGACAGUUUGGCUUCCCUGUUCUGGGUGGCAAAGCCUGUGGAGUACUCACCUACCUGCUGCAUGAAGGCAGCAUGGAGGGACUGUGGUGGAUUAUCUGCAAAGAUGGCCAAAAUUCUCUCAUCCCUGCAGGCACAUACAAGGUUUCCAGAAGUUCCCCAGUCAUUGAGCAUUUCUGAGGCUCUUGAUGCAUAUGCCAAGUAGUUAUGGAGAAAGACACAGCAGCUUACCUCUGCAGGCAUCAUUGUGUGAAAGGAAGACCCAGGCUCUCUCACCACCCUUGAACAGAAGCCUUUUGCUAAGGUGAUAGCUACAUGUCCAAGCCUAUUGCGUGGCAUGCAUUUUGCCUUCUGCAGCCCACUAAAGGAAAUUGAAGUAUACAGAAUGCUUAUUUGGUCUACUCAGUAUCAUCCUAAAUGUAUGUACCAAUGCUUAGGAGUUUGCAGUUCACCCGCAAACCUCAGCGAUCCAAGCUCCCCUGGAUGACCAUCACUCACCAAGAAAAGAGCAAUAACAGGACCUGUUUUGCUAAUCCAGGACUGUUCUCCAGCACUAACUCUAAAUAAUCCCUUCUGCUAGAGUCCACUUUCUGGAACCUGUUGCCUCCGUUUUCAACGUUUCCCAAACUUGGUCCGUUGUGUGAGCUGGCUGAUAAAAGUUCCAGGGAGAAGACAUCUUACUCUUAUUGGAUCAUGCACAGUGCCUGAAGCAUUCUGUUGCAUGUAGAAGUCAGUAAAUUGCAGAUGUAAGAUUCAAAACCAGACUUCACAUCUACCGACUUCAGUGACCCUGAAAUUUGUUCACAGAGAGCAUUUAACAUAACUGUCUUCAUCAUCUCCUUCUCUACAUUAAAAAUUAUGGUUCACAAAGACGUUAUUGGUGAUUCAAUCUUGAGUCAUGAAAAGUCAACCUUGAGCCACAAAAAGUCAACCUUGAGCCAAGCAGAUUGGAGAGUCAUACAUGCCAUUCCUGGGACCAUCAAAAAUGGCAGAGGUCACACAAAAAGGCAAAACUUUUAAGAGGUGUUUUAAACGUCGUAUGGGCCAAAGAGAAGCUGGAUUUCCUAUUGGAGUCACCUGUAACACACGUGUGACGAAAUUGGCCUGUGAGGACAAGGCAGUGAGCAGAGAGGACAGCAGUCCUUAUGAGAUCAAGCUCUAAGGUGAGGUUGCAGGAUCUGAAGGCCAGCUCCCCUGCUUGCUCACUGUAUGACUUUAGGCAAGUCAUUUUACUUCUGAAUGAUUCAUAUUGGAAGUAAAAUAUAUGAUUGGUUAAAA
rnacentral:lncRNA from 1 species